CACCCAGGAUCAGGAAGAGAUCUACAAGCAACUCACGAAACUGGAAACUAGAAUAGGUCUUUUUACAGAAGAUGCAUAAGAUGAAAGGCAAUCUCUGGCUUGGGCUCAUAGACAUAAGGGAGGAAGGCUCAUGGCAGUGGGCGAAUGGUUCACCUCUGUCACCCAGCUUUACAAACAAAUAUUGGACCUCAUGGGAAACCAAAGGUGCUUCAGAGAAGACUGUGUAGAAUUGACAAAUCAUGGCUGAAAUGACAACUGUUUAUUUGAAGAACGUAUGGGUCUGCAAGAAGUCAUCAGUAUCCUGCUCCAACAGCUGAUGCUCAGAUCCUUCCCUCAGCCCUUUCAGUCCCAACCUCCAAGUGACCAGACUUUACCUACACUUGUGCUGAUCCCCUCUCCCUACUUACAGGCAAGGAGCUCUUAAUAGCUUUGCUAGCCGGACGUAUCCCAGCACUCGGGAGGCAGAGGCAGGCAGAUUUCUGAGUUCGAGGCCAGCCUGGUAUACAAAGUGA